ensembl:lncRNA novel transcript
CCCAUGGCGAAUUCCAUGGCACUGUCAAGGCUGAGAAUGGGAAGCUUGUCAUUAAUGGAAAGCUAGAUCCUACCAAAAUCAAAUAGGGCGAUACUGGCACUGAGUACAUUGUGGAGUCCAUCAGUGUCUUCACUACCAUGGAGAAGGUUGGGGCUUGCUUUCAGAGGGGAGCCAAAAGGGCCAUCAUCUCUGCCCCAGCUGCUAACGUCCCCAGGUUUCUGAUGGAUGUGAGCCAUGAGAAGUAUGACAACAGGUUCAAGAUCAUCAGCAAUGACUCCUGUACCACCAACUGUUUAGCACCCCUGUCCAAGGUCAUCCAUGACAAUUUUGGUAUCGUGGAAGGACUCGUGAUCAUGGUGCACACCAUCACUGCCAGCCAGAAGACUUUGGAUAGCCCCUCUGGGAAGCUGUGGCAUGACGAUCACAGGUCUCUCCAGAAUAUCAUCCCCGCAUCUACUGGUGCUGCCAAGGCUGUGGGUGAGGUCAUCCUUGCCCAAAUGCAAGGACCCUAUAAAUCCCCAAUGGAAUAAAUCCUCUGGAAGCACUUUCCUUUCUUAUGGCACUCUGCACAUUUACUGUGCACAGCACCUAACAUGUCUCAUAUUUCAUCUCCCCCACUGGACCACUAAACUGGGAGCAGAAAUGGAAAAUUGGAAGUAUUAGUCCUGGGUCCAGCCUGCAGACUUGUUUUGUUAGUUUGCAUGCUUUUCCCCCCACAAAGUUUAAUUUAUUUAAAAAAUUAUAACCUAUGAUAAACAUACAGAAAAUUUGAGAAAAUGGUA